UGGGUCGCUAGCUCAGCUGGUAGAGCAGUUGGCUUUUAACCAAUUGGUCACAGGUUCGAAUCCUGUGCGACCCACCAU
rnacentral:tRNA from 1 species